rnacentral:antisense_RNA from 1 species
CUUGAUGGAACCCAGCCACAGCGGGCGGUCCUCGGGCCGUUCCUGUCCAUACGUCGCGAGCAAGGCCUGGGCCUC